rnacentral:rRNA from 1 species
UACGGGGGGGGCAAGCGUUGUUCGGAAUUACUGGGCGUAAAGGGCUCGUAGGUGGCCAACUAAGUCAGACGUGAAAUCCCUCGGCUUAACCGGGGAACUGCGUCUGAUACUGGAUGGCUUGAGUUUGGGAGAGGGAUGCGGAAUUCCGGGUGUAGCGGUGGAAUGCGUAGAGAUCCGGAAGAACACCGGAGGCGAAGGCGGCUUGCUGGGCUCGGUCUGACGCUGAGGCGCGAAAGCGUGGGGAGCAAACAGG